CGCCUUCGCACAGGUAGUGACGAUGAGCUGGCAGCAGAUGGGCAUCGACCCCAAGUCGCUCGCCGACAGCGCGAAGUCCACCGCGGAGCGCGAGCGCCUCGCUGCCUCCCGUGUCGACGCAUUCCUCGAGAAGAUCAUGGCCGGACAGGCGCAGCCGAUCCCGGUUCCGGCGCCGCUGCAGAUCGUGCUCAUGGACAAGUAUGAGGCAUCGGUGAAUCCGGCCGGCAUCGACCGCGCCGUGGAGCAGGCCACGAAGAUUCGCGCAACGGCGGAUUCGGCCAAGGCUGCCCAGCAGCCGAAGUCGGCCGUGCCGCUGCCCGGCGGACCGACGACCGGAACGCCACCCGCUGGUGCACCCCGUAGG
rnacentral:misc_RNA from 1 species